rnacentral:rRNA from 1 species
UACGUAGGGUGCGAGCGUUGUCCGGAAUUAUUGGGCGUAAAGAGCUUGUAGGCGGUUUGUCGCGUCUGCCGUGAAAAUUCGAGGCUCAACCUCGAACUUGCGGUGGGUACGGGCAGACUAGAGUGUGGUAGGGGAGACUGGAAUUCCUGGUGUAGCGGUGAAAUUCGUAGAUAUUGGGAAGAACACCGGUGGCGAAGGCGGCGCUCUGGACCGAGACUGACGCUGAGGCGCGAAAGCGUGGGGAGCAAACAGG